UGCAGGGGGCGCUGCGGCGCGGGGGCUCAGGGAGCAUGCGGCAAUGGCGGCUCGGCCUAGACGGGGAGGGAUGGAGGAGUGGCUUCGCUUCACAAGCCCCAAGGGCGGCCAAUCUCAGUGCCCCUAACAGGAUUCUCAGAAGCAGCAGGAGAAGGAAGCACUUGGAAAUGAAGACCAGUGUAUGACCUCCUACUAAUCAAAAUUGCUGUUGAAUUUGGUGUGUCUGUGGCAUUGUUAAUAAUAAACACAAGCGGUGGAUCCUGCUCUGACAGGUUUAAUGCUGAAGAUAUGUGUACACAAUCUUUGGGAUGGAAGUGACAAAGGCAGCAAGGACAGACUGUCAUGAAGCCUGGUCCCAUCUUCUCAGUGUCAGGGUCUGUUAUCUGCCAAACAGGAAGUUCAAAGCACUGAUGGAAUCUCACCUCAGUGAGAGCACAGCAGGGAGAGCGACACGUUCAUCUUUCUGUCACGUAUCUUUCAAGAAUUGGAAAUAAAUACUAGGCUAUGAAGCUUUUGCAGAAUACAAUGUUAUUUAGACACUGGAAGACUCUUGCCAGCUCUCUUUCAUUCAUUCCUGGCUGAGCAAAUGAGCAAAUGAAAGGGGCAUCUUGCAGAAAUACAGUUAGCAGAAAGCAAUAUAAUGAACAAGCUUGUUUUGGAAACCAUGAAGUGCUAUCAUCCGUAAGAAUAAGUCUGAAUAAACUCUCUGAUAGCCUCAAGCCCAGCCUGUUCUUUGUGGACUUGUGGGUAAUUGCCACGGUGAAGAACAUGCAUAUAUUAAAUUACAGGGUCUCCUGCUCCCCUGCAGCCUUGGCGUGGGUGUUGCUUGUUCACAUAAGCUAAUGAGAUACCUCUUACAUGAAGCAUGACAGCUCAGGUUUGUGAAAAAGGUUGCUGAAGGGCUGAGCUUUUCCUGUUCUCUUUAGAAGGGUGCAAAUCCUGAUGGUUUUGGAGCUUUUUGGUACUUCUGAAGAUGUACAUCAAGAGCUGCCAUGCCUUUUCUGAAGAGAUUGCAGGAGCAGUUUCACAUCGCCGACAAAAUCCCAUCAAAGCCGGAAAUUGUUUUCUUUAUGUGAGUGGCAAGGCAAUUACCGAGCUGAGUGACAUGAGUGAAGGAGUGCAUUUACACCAGAAGCUAUUGCUACAGCAGAAACUACUGACAGGAAAGCAGUGACUGACAUCCCUUGGCUUAUUAUUAUGGGCCUUGUAUAAAUGGAAUAGAAGCAAUGACUGUUACUGCAUUUCUAAUCAACAAAGUGUUAUGCCAGUAAUUAAGUUUCAACUGACUCGCAUCUCCUUUCUAGGCAUUAAUUGGAGGAAGAUAUGCAGAUUGCUGGUUAAUAAUAGAAUGUUUAUAGUUCUAUAAUAAUUUUCUUCAUGUUUAUCCAUUUGUGUGAUUGCUUGUGUGGCAAAUAUUUGAUCCUGUAUGUGUCUGUUUAGCCAUCAGACUGUUUAUAAACGUCAUUGUUUAUUGUGGUAGUGACACCUUAAAGCUCUGCAACUCGCAGAGCCUAAUAGCAGUGAAUGUAGAACAUUAUCUUGCAUAACAGAGGAAGGCCUUUCAAAGAAAACUCCAGAUUGUCCAAACCACAUAUGGAUGUCAGAGAUGGGAACAGUGUGAGCUGCGGGCUGAACCUAUUUUAAACUCCCACUCAUGAUUUCCAAAUGCAGUACUCUGUCAGAAUGUAGGCAUAGAGAAUUUUGGGUGCUACAGCACUCAUGUAAAUAAAGACUCCAGAAAUCU